CUUAGUCAGCCACCAGCACUAGAGGCAAGCUGGCCAGCCGCACCAUUAAAUAGUACAACACCCCGCACACCCCAUGCACACUGAGGAACAGUGGCGUAAACCACUCGCAGCACUGUCACUGUGUGCCGCCACUUGAGCAAAUCCUCCUGGAUGGGUGGUCCUUUUAAGUCUCUGGCAAGCUUCCCAAUGUUGGUUUCAUCACUGACAAGCACUAUUCCCUCAACCAAGGACUCCACCAUCUUCAAGAACUCAGAAUCAAGAGAAGAGCCAACAGAGGGAAAUUGGAAAUGUACAUUUUCAUCUUUUGUGGCUUUAUUUGUUUUUUCAUCUUGUUCCUCACAUUCAGAAAUAUGUGGAAGUUUGUCUUUUGUAAUUGUGUCUUCUUAACAUCAAGAUGGAUUCUAAGCCUCUCUGCCAGACUGGUGAGGGCCUUGAGAUGAGUAUGGGCAUGAGCAAGAUUCUGACUCAUCACUUGCAAGCGUGACUCAUGUUUAUCGAUACUCUCCUUCAGGGCACUGCUGAUACGUGGUUCUCUUUCAUUCAUGAUUGUGUACUUUGUUUGAAAUGCACAUGCAUAUA